rnacentral:lncRNA from 1 species
CAAGAAAAUGUGCUAGUUGCAAGAAAUAUGAUAAAAUAAAAAUACUAAUAUGAAUGUUAAUCAUGCACAGCUUAGUGUGCACAAUUUGUAGCAAAGUGUUUGUCAUUAAAGAGUAGUUAAAGUGUUGUUUGAGGAGAUUCGUGUCAACAUUUGGUGUAAAGCAGAUAUUUCCUGGUCCCCAGCGGACAGUAGAAAAUUAGGGUAGUGGGUCAGACCCUCUGGCUGGGCGAAUGCUCAUUUAUUAGUGGUGCUACGGUUUUGUUUAGCCAGAUAUCUCAUAGAUGGGAGUGUGAUACUCAGGCUCACAUCCCAUUAUGCCUCAUCGAUCGUGAUUACUGAAUGAGGUCAAUUAAAUAUCUCCCACCCCCAGCAUUGAUAUGGAAACCAUAGGUGUUGGGAAAUUAUAAGGACUAGGUAACGUUUUAACUUUUUUUUUUUUUUUUUUGGAACUAAAACGUUUACCCUGUCACACACCCUCAUGUUAAUGGGGAUUAGUUUUCUAUUGAGUUAACCUAACCAUCCUUCUGUACAGUGGCUGAAAUGCAUGUGUGGGAGGUCAAGCAAUAAAAAUUAUAACAAGGAAUGUAAUGUUAACUAAAAAGAUGGCUAGAAGCCAUCUUCAGCAAGUGUUGGUCAGGAAUCAGAGAUUCAGGUCCAUUCAGGUUAAUGAGGUUGUGAGUCCUCUGGAACUCCUGGUAGGAGUAGGUAUUUCUCUGCACCGCUGUGGUUGUGGCAUAGUAGGUGUAAAACCAGAUUCAUUGUACCAGUCCUGACCACGAACUUGUUUUAAUCCCAAUGCUUGUGUAAAUGUUGGGACAUCGCCAUGUUUUCAAAGUGAAUGGGUGAUUUGUCCCAUAGUGCUGUGAGGACCACUGCCUUGUCGUCGUUUUGAAAGGUAAUUAUUAAGUCCCUGGGGGCUGUGGUUGGUGCUUUGUUGGGUUUAGGGAUUCAAAAGAAUCUGUCCAGGGUGAUAGCUUUCCCGUCUCUGAUAGUAGGGCUGCCAGCAUGCCUCUCAAGAAACAUGGUAGUUCCGUUUCGGAGAUGUCUUCCGAGACCCCUCUGAGUUUGAGACUGUUUCUUCUCAGUGUGUCCUCUAGGGCCCCAAAACGACGUUCAUGUAGCAAGUUCUGCUGCUGCAGGUCAUGUACGGCUUGGUGAAGCUUGGCAAUGUGUUGAGUGCUUGUUUGGGAAGUUCCCUCUAGAGCCCCGAUGCGGCCAGUCAGCCCUUGCAGGUCACUGCGUACCGCCGUGAUGUCUGCCAAGAUAUUCCUUUGUAGGUCUGCCAGCAAUACUUUUAGGACCGAUGUGGUCACAGGUGAGGAGUCCAACCCGGAUUUGUUGUUUCGUCACUUUACGAGGGAGCCGGUGCAGAGUAGUUCGUCUUCAUCAGCGUCGCCAGACAACUCGUCUGAGAAGUUUAGGCAACCGCAGCCAUUUUGGGCCCGCUGGCGCCAUGCGCUUGCCUCCACAUGUCCCCAAUAGUAAGCCCCGGUGCAGUUUAGUCUGAUGGUGGUCGCUGUUGUUCAGGUCAACCCGGUGGGCUCUUAUGGUAAAUUUUUGGAGGUGAG